rnacentral:rRNA from 1 species
AAAUUGAAGAGUUUGAUCAUGGCUCAGAUUGAACGCUGGCGGCAGGCCUAACACAUGCAAGUCGAACGGUAACAGGAAGCAGCUUGCUGUUUCGCUGACGAGUGGCGGACGGGUGAGUAAUGUCUGGGAAACUGCCUGAUGGAGGGGGAUAACUACUGGAAACGGUGGCUAAUACCGCAUAACGUCGCAAGACCAAAGAGGGGGACCUUCGGGCCUCUUGCCAUCAGAUGUGCCCAGAUGGGAUUAGCUAGUUGGUGAGGUAACGGCUCACCAAGGCGACGAUCCCUAGCUGGUCUGAGAGGAUGACCAG